UACGGAGGGUGCAAGCGUUGUUCGGAAUUACUGGGCGUAAAGGGCGUGCAGGCGGUUUGGCAAGUCAGAUGUGAAAGCCCCGGGCUCAACCCGGGAAGUGCAUUUGAAACUGCCAUACUUGAGUAUGGGAGAGGAGAGCGGAAUUCCCAGUGUAGAGGUGAAAUUCGUAGAUAUUGGGAGGAACACCCGUGGCGAAGGCGGCUCUCUGGACCAAUACUGACGCUGAGACGCGAAAGCGUGGGGAGCAAACAGGAUUAGAUACCCUGGUAGUCCACGCCGUAAACGAUGAGAACUAGGUGUAGCGGGUAUUGACCCCUGCUGUGCCGAAGUUAACGCAUUAAGUUCUCCGCCUGGGGAGUACGGCCGCAAGGCUAAA
rnacentral:rRNA from 1 species